UGCUGCCGCCUCUUGAUCACUCCCUAACCCCAGACACAUGCUUGCAAAGAUAGUAGCACUUCUUGUGGAACAGCAGACUCCAGUCAAAGACAGACUCCCUGAGGCCACCAAAAAGGAAAACAAAGCACUUGAUCUUGGAUUAUUUAGUGGAGUGGAUGUGAAGACACAGUCUGGUGUAUGAAGCUGGCAAUAAAAAAAACCCAGGCCAAAACUGUGAACUGGAGAGCUGUACAUGGGAAAAUAGGAUUCCCAAUUUUGUUGUAAUUGAGGCUGUAAAAAGUCCUUCAUGUGCACAGAUGACUGAGCUGGAGGUCAAAAACAGUUCCUAAACCUGGGUAUCAUCUAAUUGUUUUCAUCUUCUACAGUAUUGUUUGUAAUUAAUUUGACUAAUAUAUAUUUGCACCUCUGUAAACAUAUUUUUUUUGUCUUUAACUUCUCUUGUUUGUUUAUUGGU